GAUAAACGCUGGCGGCGUGCCUAACACAUGCAAGUCGAACGAUGAAGAUUAAAAGAUUUCUUCGGAAUGAACUUAAUUGGAUUAGUGGCGGACGGGUGAGUAACGCGUGAGUAACCUGCCUUGUACAAGGGGAUAGCCGUUGGAAACGACGAAUAAUACCCUAUGACAUCAAAUAAUCGCAUGAUAAUUUGAUCAAAGAUUUAUCGGUAUAAGAUGGACUCGCGUCUGAUUAGCUAGUUGGUAGAGUAAAAGCCUACCAAGGCAACGAUCAGUAGCCGGCUUGAGAGAGUGUACGGCCACAUUGGGACUGAGACACGGCCCAGACUCCUACGGGAGGCAGCAGUGGGGAAUUUUGCACAAUGGGGGAAACCCUGAUGCAGCGACGCCGCGUGAUUUAGAAGGCCUUCGGGUUGUAAAAAUCUUUUGUAUGGGAAGAAAAUGACAGUACCAUACGAAUAAGGACCGGCUAAUUACGUG
rnacentral:rRNA from 1 species